AUUAUACCAGCAAUCCAGCCUGAAGGACUUAGCUCAUAGAUGUCUUCUGAAAUGUGGAAGAAAUACUUUCGUUUGUCAUAAAACCUCAGCAGGAGAUUGGAGUCUGGAAGAGGGAGGGGAGAAGAGGAGGACCUCAGGGAGAUUGUUUUGCUUAUUGGUGUUUAAUUAAAAACCAAACAACUUUUCCUAUUAACUUGAUGCUACUUAUUAAUUGAAAUGAGGAGACUGACUCUGGAUAUUGGGAAAAUUUAUGGGCACAUACAGAGGAAAAGACAUGUGGGGACAUAAUGAGAGGACAGCCAUCUGCAAGCCAAGAAGAGAAUCCUCACCAGAAACCAACUUGACUGGAAUCUUGAUCUUGAACUUCUUGCUUCCAGAAUUAUGAGAAAAUAAAUUGUUGUUUAACCCACACAGUCUAUUGUACUUAGUUGUAGCAGUCUGAGAAGACUAAUACAUUGAUAAACUGGUCAGUUACAACAAUGAAUAUAUUAUUUAUACAUUAUAUAAAUGAUUAUAGUUUCUGUAUUAGCUUAGAUUUUGCAAAUUUGUCAAUAGCUUUGUCCAAGUUGAUUUUCUUUAUAUAUUCCUAUUUCAUAGACUAUAUUAGCUAGAUUUGUCAAUCUAUCUUACUCAUAAUGACUGAAGAACACUUUUAAAUUCAAUUUAAAAGGUUUUUGUCACAUAAAGCAACAAAUAUAAAACUAGAAAAAAUAUAAAUAUGAAUAUAAAUUUGAAGGAAAUUAAUAAAAAUCGUAUUGUACCAUAUAUUCCAGAAAUUUUAAACACUGAUGAAAACUUCAAGUGGUACCAAGGAAUGAGAGAAUUGAAGUAAUUCAAGUGUUAUAUUUCA
rnacentral:lncRNA from 1 species